rnacentral:lncRNA from 1 species
GGGGAUUGGACUGCAGUCAGAAAUGUGGCUUCUUACCCUGUUUUUAUUUUCUGGUUUUUCUGUUUUGUUUUGUUUGCUUAAUGAACUUUUUUUUUUUUUUUUUUCUACUCCCGACCUCUGCAGGCUUCUGAAACUGUGGCAGGGGCACUCAAUGUCCUUUGUUAACUUGUACAAGAGAGAACAAUAUCGGUUGCCUGUUACCAUUUACUACCUAAGAAGUGUUCGUCCUUCCUUGUACACUAGAAAAGAUGAGCGAUGAUGAUGGUUCUGCUAACACUUUGUCAGCUGCUUCGUCUCUGAACUGGAAUGAAUCUUGGAAUGUCUUAGAGAUCCUGGAUGCUAAUGAAAGCUUUCAUUUAUUUUGAUAAAAAAUAAACUAAGAAAUCUUUUUCUUUCGUGGGUUAGCAUCUGUAUUUCAAUCAUUCUCCUUGUUGCUGCUUUUGUCAGUAAUAGUAGUAAUAGUAGUAGUAGACGCAAUAGUAGUAAUAAUAAUAAUAAUAAUAAUAAUAAACAGUGAAAUGAUCCAGGCCUUAUCCUUUAGAAACCUAAGUGCCUUUUUACUUGGGAUUCUCAAAUUUGAAAUGCCCCCAGCCAAAUUUGGUGGACUUAUUUAAAUUUACCAAGCCUGUUUGCUGAUACUCCCACACAGGUAGCAAUGUAGCUCAAGCUUGGCCAGCUGCCCCCCAUCCUGAGAGUAUUGUUGAGAACACACAUUUCCUUUUACCCAACAAACAUUAAUGCUGGUCCACCAUACUUUUUGUCAUUCUGGUUCCCUCUAUGCUCCAAAAUUACCUUUUCUUUAAUGGGUAAGCUAAGCCUUAGAAUACAACGGUUGUCUAAGCAAAGAACGUGUGUAUAUGGAGUGGAGUGAUGUCAGAAUUCUGAGCUGCACAUCAAUUUCUAGAACAUGGUGUGUCGAGAAUACCACGGGUUGCUAAAUGUAUAAUCUAAACCGUGAACACAAAUAUAACUCAGGGGCUAAUGUUAAUCAAAAAUGCGCAGCCACAAGGGGGAGAGGCUAUAAAACAAGAGAGUCUAUCACCACACCAUCUUUGUAAUUCUUCUGCCUGAGAAGAAAGAGACAUGGUCAAGAGAAAAUUAAAGAUUCCAGAGGCAACUGUGCUAAUUUGGAGCAAGACUAACUGAAUGAUAAAUGCAACACCAACCUUCAUAAUUUAAAUCAAUUGUAGGCGGGACGAUGCCUUUACUAUAUUCAUCGAUGCAUGUUAACAUCUACGCGGUUGGACUUGGAAAAUUCCUAUCUUGGACAAGUUUCUGGGAAGUGACCUGAGGAAGAAUCAAAGAAAUAGAACUUUUUUUUUUUUAUUGUUACAAUGAACCGUCCAUCACAUGCUUGCCCCACUUAGAGACACCGAGUGUUAAGGAAUGUACCUUUGAAGAUAUCAAAACUAGACACAUCUCCUCGGGUAUGGUUUCUCGAAGACAGCAUCCUGACUACCUGCAAGUUCCUUUCCUUGAGGUAAAAAUGUGUUCCUCUUUGAUGAGGUUGACGUUUUCUAUUGAUUCAUAUCAUUAUCGUUGUGAGACGGGGCCAACUGAUUAAGGUAUAAAUCUUCAUACAGUGGAUUCACUAUGCUCCAAAAGCAAGAAGUCAUCUGAGCGUUUCUUUAUAACGUGUAGGGAUUUCACAUUCUUCUGAACUAUUAUUUGCCUACAUCUAUAUGAUCUUUUAAAAACAAUUCUAGGCUUUGCUUUUAAGAGCUGCCCUCCCUUCCUUCCAAGCAGUGCUUUUGCGGUCAUUUAUACAGCGUGGUCCUUGGACCUGUGGCAUCAGCUUUCCUGGAAGCUCACUCCAACUGCACAUCCUCAGGUCCCCCCAGAGGGGCUGACUCAGGAGCUCCUGGGAUGGGUGGUAGUAAUCAGUGUCUUAACAAGCUCCCCAGAGAACUCUGACGCACACUCAGCUCCCAGAACC